CAGCCGUAAACUAUGCUCGCUAGGUGUCAGGCAUGGCGCGACCGUGUCUGGUGCCGCAGGGAAGCCGUGAAGCGAGCCACCUGGGAAGUACGGCCGCAAGGCCUGAAACUUAAAGGAAUUGGCGGGGGGAGCACAACAACGGGUGGAGCCUGCGGUUUAAUUGGACUCAACGCCGGGACAACUCAACCGGGGGACGACCAAGGCAAUAUGUAGGCCAGGCUGAAGACCUUGCCUGAAUCGGCUGAGAGGAGGUGCAUGGCGUAGACGUCU
rnacentral:rRNA from 1 species